rnacentral:misc_RNA from 1 species
GAUGAAGAACGCAGUGAAAUGCGAUACGUAAUGUGAAUUGCAGAAUUCAGUGAAUCAUCGAGUCUUUGAACGCACAUUGCGCCCCCUGGUAUUCCGGGGGGCAUGCCUGUCCGAGCGUCAUUGCUGCCCUCAAGCACGGCUUGUGUGUUGGGCCUCCGCCCCCCGGCUCCCGGGGGGCGGGCCCGAAAGGCAGCGGCGGCACCGCGUCCGGUCCUCGAGCGUAUGGGGCUUCGUCACCCGCUCCGUAGGCCCGGCCGGCGCCCGCCGGCGACCCCCCUCAAUCUUUCCAGGUUGACCUCGGAUCAGGUAGGGAUACCCGCUGAACUUAAGCAUAUCAUAAGCGGAGGA